rnacentral:rRNA from 1 species
UACGGAGGGGACUAGCGUUGUUCGGAAUUACUGGGCGUAAAGCGCACGUAGGCGGAUUGUUAAGUCAGGGGUGAAAUCCCGAGGCUCAACCUCGGAACUGCCUUUGAUACUGGCAAUCUCGAGUCCGGAAGAGGUGAGUGGAAUUCCUAGUGUAGAGGUGAAAUUCGUAGAUAUUAGGAAGAACACCAGUGGCGAAGGCGGCUCACUGGUCCGGUACUGACGCUGAGGUGCGAAAGCGUGGGGAGUAAACAGG